GGCCAGUUUUAUCACGGUGUACAGUUUGAAGUGAGCAACCUCCACCCAGGAGAAGACCCUGAAAAACCUGAUGCCACAAUGGAUGUUAAAGGACACAAACUGACUGUGACUAGAGGCUGGCAGAAAGACUUCCGUAGAGAUGUGAAAAACGGAGAGAAAGUGCCCUGCUGGUUUGUACACA